UUUAGAAGACGGUAUCUUAAUAGCACACAAUUCACGACGACAAUAAUCACGACCAGAAAAUGAAAAACAAAAAUUUCGAGCAUACCAUUCAUCAUCAAUUGGCAGCGACAGACUGUCAUAAUCUUUUACUAAAAGAUUUUGUGGCGACAUGCUGUCGCUGUCUUUUAUUUAAACUUUUAACUGCGACAUAAAGUCGCCGGUUUUUAUUUAAACUUCGCGGCGACGCGAUGUCGCCACUACAUUAAAACUUU
rnacentral:lncRNA from 1 species